GCCUUGUGUCCAGUGCCCUAAACUGUCCCAGUUCCGGGGCGCACAUCAACCACAGAAGAGUGGAUAAGAAAUCGGACAGCUGGCACCCUGACACGCCAUGGCCGGAAGUGAAACGGUCCUGACGACGCAGGACGCACCCAGGAGAGCAGGAGCCAGCAGUUCCCGCCCUCCUGGCUGCCUCCAGGGCUCUCUGUGCCCCCUUCCUGGAGGUCACCUUUCCCUGCAUCUCUGCGGGCUCCUGGCUCCUCAGAGACGCUUUCUCCGGUCAUCUGAUCCUCGAUGCGUACCAGGGACUCAAAGAAACCAGGAUGUCUGCCAAAACUUAAAGGACACCAGGAGGGUCCCCAAAGCGACAGACUUCUCUGCAUCUGGAGGAAAUGGCUAUAUUUGAAAAUAACACCGACUUUUUCAAAGGGUAACCGUAUAGCAAGAGCAAACUCUGUGUGAGCCUCCCUCUUCAGAUGGCUGGUCUUUCACAAUGAGAAGAGCUUGGGUGCCACAAAAUGAAGGAGGAACCAAGGCUGCCUGCAAACCUCAGGCAGCACAAAAGCCUGAUUGCUGCCACCCAGUCGAUUUAGAUUUACUGCAUUUUAAAAUUCAAAUCCAGAAGUUCCCUUGUGGUGCAGCAGGUUAAACAUCCCAGGACACUGCAGGGGCACGGGUUCAAUCCCUAGCCCAAGAACUUCCACAUGCCAUGGGUGUGGCCAGAAAAAAAAAAAAAAAAGAUUCAAGCACCAUAUAACUGUUCAUCAUUCGUAAUCACCCUUUUGGUUUUUGUUUAGCUGGUUUCUUUUUUCAUUAUUUGAGAAUAAUUUCAAUAGUGGCUUCAUCAUGACAUUGU
rnacentral:lncRNA from 1 species